GGCCGAGCGAGCCGCCCGCGGCUUCAAAGAGGUAGCGUUCUAAAAUGCUUAAUAACUUUUUAACCGCUAAUUCUAUCCAUCUGAUUUAAAAAGUGAGGUAAAGCGGCUAUUCUAGGCUUUUUGCUGGUAUCACUAUGUCCUUUUCCGGGAUUUAGAGGCUCCGACGUGAUCGGGGCAACGUUAUCACAUUUUACAGCCUUGAUUCGUCAAGGAGACCCAUGCGGCCCCUCUGUCUGAGCCAAACAGCAAAGGUUUUAGACUAAGUCCCACCCCCCUGUGUCCGGAUAGGUUUAAAAUGUAAAGGUCCAGGCAAACCUCUGCCCAUGCUACCAUCUUCUCGACCAAUCAACAUAGGUUGCUGUGUAUGUUUUUGGCGGCGGGAGAUAAACAAAGAGAAACAGAAAGACGAGAGAGUAAUACUAAAGAAGAGUAAUUCUGCCAGCGUAAGAGAAAUAAAUACAACACGAGAUAUCUAGAUACAGUCACACACACACACACACAAAUACACAUACAUACACACACACACACAUAUCCCAAGACAAAUUCAAACCAACAUGUCAAAACGGCGUUACACUACGGAAGAAACCGUAGAAUUUAUUUUGUCUGGCGGACCGCUUAGCGAUGCAGCGGUGGAUUCCUCAGAUUCUGAAGCUGACAACUGGCAAGGAAGAGGAGUAUGAUCACGGGAUUGAUCCCUUCGAAGAUAAAAAAUACAGAGGAUGAGAGAGGGGAUGCACAAGCCCCUGUCCCCAUCAGUAGGCCUCCUUCAAACCGAGAGGGAAAAGAAUGUGGCCAGGAGGGUGCAGCAUCCAGAAAAAAGGCCAAACCAAUGGCAGCCCCCCUGACAGUGAAAGGGAGAGGAAGAGGGAAAGGGAAAAAAACAUCUCUGACCCCAGAAGAGCCAGGAGCUGUUUGGAACGGACCUGAGGUGCCAGAUACUGCCCAACAACUACCACACUUUUGCCCGAAAAGAGCCCCUGGAGUCCAAGGUUUUGUUGGUGUGGAGUAUACUCCUGCACAAAUAUUUAGAAAUUGUUUUAACAACCAAGCUGUAAAUAUCAUCUGCAAGAACACAAACAAAAAUGCUGAAAAGGAGCAGGCUAAGGGGGAAAAGUUUGUUU